CACAGCCACACAGCCAGCCACGGAGUAGAAGGAAAGAAAGAUAUAUAAAAUAAAGAAAGCAGGGCUGUGAGAACCAAGCUCCCUUGAAACCAGUGCAAGGCAGCUCACUCACAGUGCUGUCUUCUCCCUCCACCCAUGGAUCCGGAGCACCAUGGCUGCUCUCUUUCCUCCUCUGGGUUAUUUGGACAGCUCAAGAAGGAAGAGCAAGUGUGACAUUCAAUUCAGAUCAAUGGACAGGCAUGGCCCACAAGUCUGACUGCAGAAAUCUCAGCGAAGGAGCCAAGAGCUGAAGACUAAAUAAGUACUAAACUGCAAGGAUGUUAAAUGGAACCCAAGAUAAAGAAAUACUGAUCCCUAAAAUCUAGAACCUUAACGAAGAUGCCCGGGAGUGAGAUGCCUAAUAUCCUUUCUAUCUUUUGCUGGAGGCAGGCUGAAUCCAAAAGACUGAUUUCUUAUCACGAAUGCCUAUGGGAAAUUAGAGAUGAACUCUUUGCUCUCACGUAGCCUCAGAGUAUCAUUAGUUCAUUUUCUGAUUUAGUUUAAUUACCAACUCUCCUCUGUAUUUAUGUACUCAUUCAUAAAUUGUUAGGAUAAACCUGUUAAUGUCCCCGGCACAAAACACUUGAUAGUUGCAACAACGCCCUAGGUUGAAUGCUAUUUCCUGCUUUGUUCAGCACAGAAGUGAAGCUCACUGAGAUUAGUGGUGUGCCUGAGAUCACAUGCUUGCUUAGUGACAGGUGCAGGAUUGGCAUCACUGUUGUUCUGAGUUCUAGUGGAAUGCAAGCUGGUGUGCAGAGGGGAAGAAGAGUGCACCCCUUCUAGUGCCUACUGCACCCCAAGGUCAUCCUUAUACACUUGAGACUGUUGACAACCGUUUUUGUUCAAAUUAGAUUGAAUUCGGACCUCUUAGGGGAAAAAAAUAGAAGAAAUAACCAAAUUGUUUCCAUAAGAUAAAAACUAUAAUGGGAAAAAAAAUGCUUUUUCUAUUUUCAUCCUACUAUGAAAAAUUGAAGUAGUUAAAAUUGCCAAAAUAGUUUCAAAAAAG
rnacentral:lncRNA from 1 species